rnacentral:rRNA from 1 species
GACGAACGCUGGCGGCGUGCCUAAUACAUGCAAGUAGGACGCAGUUGCGAACGGGUGAGUAACGCGUAGGAACCUGCCUAUUAGAGGGGGAUAACGUCCGGAAACGGGCGCUACUACCGCAUACUAUCAGAUGAGCCUAGGUCGGAUUAGCUCGUUGGUGGGGUAAAGGCCUACCAAGGCGACGAUCCGUAACUGGUCUGAGAGGAUGACCAGCCACACUGGAACUGAGACACGGUACAGACUCCUACGGGAGGCAGCAGUGGGGAAUAUUGAACAAUGGGCGCAAGCCUGAUGCAGCCAUGCCGCGUGUAUGAAGAAGGCCUUCGGGUUGUAAAGUACUUUCAGCGGGGAGGCGUUACCCGCAGAAGAAGCACCGGCUAACUCCGUGCCAGCAGCCGCGGUAAUUC